CAAGAAGUAGUUUAACAAGAAUUCCAGCUUUGGGUGCUGGCGUGGGGAGUUAGUCCUUCUUCUUGA
rnacentral:tRNA from 1 species